rnacentral:rRNA from 1 species
UACGUAGGGUGCAAGCGUUGUCCGGAAUUAUUGGGCGUAAAGAGCUCGUAGGCGGUUAGUCGCGUCUGCUGUGAAAACUCGGGGCUUAACUCCGGGCCUGCAGUGGGUACGGGCUGACUAGAGUGCGGUAGGGGAGACUGGAAUUCCUGGUGUAGCGGUGAAAUGCGCAGAUAUCAGGAGGAACACCGGUGGCGAAGGCGGGUCUCUGGACCGUAACUGACGCUGAGGAGCGAAAGCGUGGGGAGCGAACAGG